rnacentral:rRNA from 1 species
AUUGAACGCUGGCGGCAUGCUUUACACAUGCAAGUCGAGCGGCAGCGCGGGGCUUGGGGCAACUUAAGUCUUGGCGGCGAGCGGCGAACGGGUGAGUAAUGCAUCGGAACGUACCGACAAGUGGGGGAUAGCUCGGCGAAAGCCGGAUUAAUACCGCAUAUGCUGUGCGCAGGAAAGCUGGGACUCUGUAACAGGACCUGGUGCUUGUCGAGCGGCCGAUGUCCGAUUAGCUAGUUGGUGGGGUAAAGGCCUACCAAGGCGACGAUCGGUAGCUGGUCUGAGAGGAUGAUCAGCCACAC